GUGGGGAAUAUUGCGCAAUGGGGGAAACCCUGACGCAGCAAUACCGCGUGAGUGAAGAAGGUUUUCGGAUCGUAAAACUCUUUUAUUGGGGAAGAAGAAGUGACGGUACCCAAUGAAGAAGUCCCAGCUAACUACGUGCCAGCAGCCGCGGUAAUACGUAGGGGACAAGCGUUGUCCGGAAUCACUGGGCGUAAAGGGCGCGUAGGCGGUUUUAUAAGUCAGAUGUGAAAGGUACCGGCUCAACCGGUGACGUGCAUUUGAAACUGUAAGACUUGAGUACUGGAGAGGCAAGUGGAAUUCCUAGUGUAGCGGUGAAAUGCGUAGAUAUUAGGAGGAACGCCGGUGGCGAAGGCGGCUUGCUGGACAGAUACUGACGCUGAGGUGCGAAAGCGUGGGGAGCGAACAGGAUUAGAUACCCCUGUAGUCC
rnacentral:rRNA from 1 species